rnacentral:rRNA from 1 species
CUGUUCGGUUAGCGGCGGACGGGUGAGUAACACGUGGGUAACCUGCCCGUAAGACCGGGAUAACUCCGGGAAACCGGGGCUAAUACCGGAUAACACCGAAGACCGCAUGGUCUUUGGUUGAAAGGUGGCUUUUGCUACCACUUACGGAUGGGCCCGCGGCGCAUUAGCUAGUUGGUGAGGUAACGGCUCACCAAGGCGACGAUGCGUAGCCGGCCUGAGAGGGUGACCGGCCACACUGGGACUGAGACACGGCCCAGACUCCUACGGGAGGCAGCAGUAGGGAAUCUUCCGCAAUGGACGAAAGUCUGACGGAGCGACGCCGCGUGAGCGAAGAAGGUCUUCGGAUCGUAAAGCUCUGUUGUUAGGGAAGAAGAAGUACCGUUCGAAUAGGGCGGUACGGUGACGGUACCUAACGAGAAAGCCCCGGCUAACUACGUGCCAGCAGCCGCGGUAA